UUAACGGUGAGACUGUAGUCCAGCAGAAUGGCGAGCCCCUGUCUUUAGCCCUCGCCACAGAAUCAACUGAUCCUGAUGUUGUGAUGGUCGAAUCAGACGGAAAACCUGCUGACGCUCAAACUGUUUCUGCAAUCCUUGAAACCAUCAUCCAGAAGGAAGAGGUCAAGGAAAGAAAUGAACAUCAACCAGAUGUAAGUCUUCCUGUCCCCGAUCCACAGCCGGAGACAGCUGACCUAAAGCAAGAAUCAGAAUCACUAACGGAGCCGAAGAGUGAGACUCUAGACGCGGGUCAACCUGAGGAAAACCAAGAGGACAGUAAAGAAGAAGAGAAUCCAGUUAUGAACUUCUUCAAAACACUAGUGACUCCCAAAAUAACCAAGGAAACAGCUACUCCUGAUGCCCCAAAAGAUCAGUCCCAGAAGGAGAACCAACCAGCGGCAACCACUACUGUUGCACAAGUAUCUGAGCCGCCAGCAGCACUCAAAGGAAUGUCUAUCCCCCCACCACCUCCUCCAGAGCCACCGAAAAUGGAAAUUAAGGGAGAAACAGCUGCCAAACCUGUCAAACCCACACCCAAAGAAGAACCCAAAGCUGCUGCAAAGACACCCGAGUCCUCAAAAGGAAAAUCGGCCAGAUCCACUCUGAGCAAUCUCUUCCGUCCAAAGAAGGUGGAUCCCUCAAAAACUGGCACUCUGGAAGCUGCCGCAAAGCCAGAACCGCCACCGCCAGUUCAGGAGGAAAAGAAAAAAGCUUCAAAAUCAUCCUUCAUGUCUCUCUUCAAGCCCAAAGUACUGUUAGACCACAUGACCACAAAAGUCCAGGCAGCCUCCACAAGUGGAGUUCGGCUCCUCAGGAGAACAGCUGGAGUGGCUGUUGAUCCCAAAAGUGCGACCCCUGCCCCAGCUGCUGCAGCAGAGACGGUUAAAGCCAAGGAGGAACCCAAAGCAGCAGCCAAGUCAUCAGAGGCGGUUGUAGAAAACAAGCCUACAGUGGCCUCCCAAGCUGACGACGAUGCCGCCAAUGUGCCCAAGAAACUGGAGAAGAGGAACUCCAUCCAGCUGUUCUUUAAAAUUCUGGGUCAGAAACGUAACUCGACAGAUGCCGGGGUCCAGACAGAGUCCGCCCCUGUUGCUGCAGGAGCUGAGAAGGCCAAAUGAAACCAAAACCCACAGUGAAGUUUCCCUGUAAAAACUCCCUCUAUCUUCUUUGCUCUUACUCAAUCUUCAUAUCUCUCUCUCUCUGUCUCAUUUUCCCUUUCAACCCUUAUUGAAUUCCUUUAACUACAUGUUGUUGUUUGUGUUACUGUUUAGAAGUUACAAUGCGGGAGGAGAAGUGACUUUAAGGGUAAAAGCAAGUUGUGAGAACGUCAAACAGUGGACAGUUGAACAAGUGGUGAUUUGAAAGGGUCAAAGGCGAGGUUGUUGAGAUAUAUAAUAUUUUUGUUGGUCAUAUAAAUGUCUUGACAAGUAUAGAAAUGUGAGAGUGAAACCUUUUCUACAGACAUUUAAUGUGACUUCUCUCCGUUCUUGCGACCUAACUCGCUGGGCUGAAGCAAUAGACCACGCUUUGCUUUGAGCAAAUUAUUUAAAGAAAAAGGUUCUAUUUACAGAAACCAGACAGAAAUCAUACAGUUGUGGCAAAGUAGGUGUUAAUAUGAAAUUACAUUGAAAAAAAAGUACUUAAAUCUAUAUGACAUGAAAAUGACCAGCUGAUAACAGGAGCAUAUUUGUUUAACAAACUUCACUUACAGAUUUUUUUUAACUUUAUGCAAGCUACACGUAGACUAAAGCAUAUACUCACGUAUCCUAACAGUCAUGUAUUGGGCCAUAUGGGAAAAUCACAAUAUUUACUGUUCUGUGGGGAACUGAUUGUAAGUGUAACAGAUGCAUCUGAGGUGGCAAAACAAAAGGUGUAGUCAUAAAUCACAGUCGAUUAGCUUUUAAUUUGAUUACACUUUGUGUCGUGUAUUUUAACGGAAGUCUUAUGGUGUUAGUCAUUUGUGUUUGGCAUACGUGCAAUUAAUAUAAUGCUUUUGUUUGCCUACAUGUAUGUAUGCGUGUGUAUGUGUAACUUCAGCUAUCUUGAAGACAAUAAACAUGUUCACCAUUUGUUUGUUGUUCAUCAGUGAAGAGGAACGAGAAUAACUGGGUGUUGCGACAACUGCAGAAUAUGUGGAUCAGCAAGUUUGGCAAAAAUAAAAUCAUAUGCUACACUUCCAAAUCUUUUUUUGAUGUACACAAGAUAAAGCAUUAUACUUGUGAGCUAAGAGGGAGU
ensembl:lncRNA pollen-specific leucine-rich repeat extensin-like protein 1